rnacentral:tRNA from 1 species
GCCUGGGUGGCUCAGUCUGUUAAGCAACUGACUUCAACUCAGUUCAUGAUCUCAUGGUUCAUAGGUUCAAGCCCUGCAUCAGGCU